rnacentral:rRNA from 1 species
AGAGUUGAUCUGGCUCAGGAUGAACGCUAGCGGCAGGCUUAACACAUGCAAGGUCGAGGGCAGCGGGAUGUAGCAAUACAUUCGCCGGCGACCGGCGGAUGGGUGCGUAACGCGUAUGCAACUACCUUAUACAGGGGAAUAACCUUUCGAAAGGGAGACUAACACCCAUGGUAUUGAUUUAAGGCAUCUUAGAUUAAUUAAAUAUUUAUAGGUAUAAGAUGGGCAUGCGUAUGAUUAGCUAGUUGGUAAGGUAACGGCUUACCAAGGCGACGAUCAUUAGGGGUUCUGAGAGGAAGGUCCCCCACACUGGUACUGAGACACGGACCAGACUCCUACGGGAGGCAGCAGUGAGGAAUAUUGGUCAAUGGGCGCAAGCCUGAACCAGCCAUGCCGCGUGCAAGGAAGACGGCCUUAUGGGUUGUAAACUGCUUUUACAUAAGACUAACCGUAUAUUUGCGAAUAUACCUGAAUGUAUUAUGAGAAUAAGGAUCGGCUAACUCCGUGCCAGCAGCUGC